AAGCUUCCUUUCAGUCCACUUCCCACGAAAAGCAACUCUCCUUUACACUUUUUCUUCAUAGAACACAAAAGACACUCUCGGACAGUUUUUUGUACCUCUUUUGAAUGCCUUUUUCGAAGCUUUUUUUCUCAUGAUCGCACUUGAGUUUUGUCUAAAAGCACGAAGACCGAGAUCUUGUUACAAGAUCAGAAGGAGAACCGGGAGUUGACCAACUGGAAAUGGUUGACUAAGCGACUAUGCGACGUAGGUGUUAGUACAGUAGUUACCUCAGAUUACUACUUGUAUUUGUGGAGUUCAAUCUCCAGCACUCUUUUGUUCACAACCAUUUUGGACUAGUGUUGUGAUAUCAGUUUUUUAGUAUGUCAUUAUGUGUGAAGUAUGUUUUAAGUAUUUGAGAUAUUUAAGUUUGGUGCAUAGUAUUGCUAAA